GCGGGCGGAUGGGUAGAAGAAGGAGGCUCCCAGAGCCUCCUGAGGCCCCCUCCCCUCCCCCAGCCAGGCACAGCCUGAGAAACGUUGACGGGUGACGGCACAGCUGCCAAACCGAUUUUUUCUCUCUCUUCGCCUGAGCCGCCUCUCGGAACUCUCUGUAGGCGCAAGAUGCGGCUGGUCUGGGAUAACUGCGCUGUGCGCAAUGCUUCAGGGGAGCGUUAACAUGAAACUGCAGGCUAAGGAGUCGCCUAGUAAAAUAAAAGGCUCGGGAAAAGCCUAAGAGAGCACUGAUGGGCCCUGGGAAGCCCCAGGGAUGCUACAGAAAAGAGCCUGGCUUUUUUCAGGCACCUCCUCAGAGCAGAGAAAUGGCUUACCCCGGCCUGCGGGAGAAUGGGUGCUAUUAAUAACAGCCUUUCCUUACCACGGGCAUUGCGAAAGCAGAAGGGACUAGAGAGGAUGCGUAGCAGGUUAUGGACUCUCUGCAAAGUUUAAGCGAACAACAGUCCCCUCUUAAAGUAGAACCGGUUUUGUCCUAAGUAAUAGAUGAACGUGGCUGUGAGUAACGUGAAGAGAAGCGGUUGCGUCUGUCACCCUCGGGGCCUCGGGGAAGUAGCGUCUAAAACCCGGUACCCUCGUGGCCUCGUCAGCCUUCUCGGUCUGUCUGGCAGGGUAGUCCCCGGAAGGGGGCAUCUCCAAGAGAAGCGGCUAGACCCAGCGACCCAGCCGUUCGCUUUGGUCGCCGCCUGUGAGGCGAGCAUCCGAGCGCAACGGGAGUCCGUAUCAAAAAGAGCUGGAACCAACGACAGCAAAUGCUGACGGAGAGGGAAGCCGGACGAGCGGCAUGUAGGGGAUUAAUACCUAAGGGACGGGGUUGAAACGAGGAGGCAGAAACGCAGCGGACCCUCGGUAUCCCCGGCAGCUGCCACGGUAGCGGCAGGUGUUCCGCCACGGGCAAGUCAAGCAGGGAACGACGACGGGCUGUCGUGAAGAACUACAGGCUGCCGCCCUCCGACCUCGGCAGGUGAUGCGACGAGAGCAGCCGGGAGAAUCCGAAUGCCGGUUUUGGCAGGUUCUCUGCCUGGUGCUGACGAGGAGCCUUUGACAGCAGGAAGGUUGGCAGCGUCCGUACCUGAACCGUGGAGUACACACCUGCUUCUAGUCUCAGUUGAAGGACGGGUCGCCUAGCUCAGCGUCUAACAAACCCCACAACCGGCGGCCCGGUCGCUAUGGCGCUGCUGUUGCUAGCAGAGCCACCAGGUCUGUGUGAAGCCUUAGGUGC